UAAAGUCUCACCAGCAUGACUGUCCAAAUGUAAACUGAACAAGGACCUCAGCGAACACGCCAAACAGCACGGGGAGGAAAGCCCAUCCACAGUGAGGUCAGCCUACAUAAAGAACUACAGGCAACUGAGUAACGCUGGGCACAGCAGAGGCGGUCCGCCCAGGGAAGAGCAUCCCGAUUGGUUGUCCAGUGCCAAAUUGUCAGCCCUGAAAAUACACAUACAAGUAACAUUAUAUGGACCAACAGGCUCUAUCUGGGAAUAUUUUUGUAUAUACGAAGACAUAAAGGCAUGCAAUAACAGAAAAACAAGGCCAUGAAUUUGAAGGAGAGAGAAGGGGCAUAUGAGAAGGUUUAGAGGAAGGAAGGGAAAGGAAACAUGUUGUAAUUAAAAUACAAUCUCAAAAGUAAAAAUAGAGUCCACCUCAUUGGUGUCCCAGGAGAAAGUGACCACAGCUUUUCCAAAAUCCACACUCCUGUUUAAAGAAUGGUUUUAAAAAAAAAAAAAGUCCCAGCCUGUGGGACAAUCAUUCAGGCUACGCACAAAAAACCAGGUUUGGUAAAGACAGCUGUGUCUGUCUGCCACCGUGUCUAUCUGUCCCUGGAGGUACAAACCAGGACACAGGAGCCCAUCAGAGGAAGGAGCAAGAACUCAAAUGGGAGCAGAGGGUCACUCCACCAUCUUCUCAAGUCCAGGAAGCAGGUGGUGCCUCAUGGUGGAGACCAGAGGGGUGUGACGAGAGGGGCAGGCAGAACAGGAAGUCCUGGGUCCUUGUUAUUUCCGGGGCUACUUCCUGCACCAGUGGACCACCAAGACCUUUCCCUGAGCUCGACAAGAACCACUCAGACCUGAAAAACAGAUGGCCCAAGAAGGUGGUGUACCUGGCAGCCAAGUCCACAGGAGAGGGUGUCGCUUUCAGAACCAAGUUUUGAGGCCACCCAGGGAAGCUGAAUAAAUCAGGUUCAUGGACCACCUGCCCAGGGUGGGGGCUCAACCCACAGCGAGCUAAGCCUUCUUCUAUCAGUUAACAAUCAAGAAAAUGCCCCGCCCAUAGACAUACACAAGCC
ensembl:lncRNA